CGCCGAAGGUGGGGCUGAUGACUGGGGUGAAGUCGUAACAAGGUAGCCGUACCGGAAGGUGCGGCUGGAUCACCUCCUAACAGGGAGACAAUUAAUAGAUUGUGAUGUCUAUGUUAAUUAUUCUUAGGCCGCAAUCCUGUCACCUUAGGUCGAUCGGUACCUCAGAUUUUUUAAUUAAUUUUAGAGUUAAUAAGAAAAUUUCAGUUCCUAAACUUGUCUAGGUCACAACCAACAUGUUUUCUCCUGGGCCAUUAGCUCAGGUGGUUAGAGCGCACCCCUGAUAAGGGUGAGGUCCCUGGUUCAAGUCCAGGAUGGCCCAUUCGUUGUUGGGGGUAUAGCUCAGUUGGUAGAGCGCCUGCUUUGCAAGCAGGAUGUCAGCGGUUCGAGUCCGCUUACCUCCACUGAAAACUAACCUGACAACUUAAAUUUCAGGAUUAAACUUUUAAAUGUGACUUAGAUUUGUCUAACUGAAAAGAACCUAGCUUCUUAUCAUCUAUCUGAGUUGAUAAUAUGCUGGGUUUACAUGGAAUUUUCCAUGGGAAUUCAGUAGAACCUUGAAAACUGCAUAGUAUUGAAAGAAUAAAGCAUCUCAUGGAUGCAUAAUUUUGAGAUUUUUAUCUUAUAACUAAGUAAAAAAUUUCAAGAUUCAUGUUUAAUUCUUGAGUAAUAGCCGAGCACAAUUUAAUUUGUGUUUGUAUGUAAGGUCAAGCUAC
rnacentral:misc_RNA from 1 species